GGAUUUAGCAGUAAAUAGAGCAAGAGCCGCUCAAUUGAAGCUCCCCCUGAGACGCGUACACACCGCCGGUCACCCUCCUCAAAACCCAAAACCCAAAAUAAUUAAGCCACCCCCCCCAACAGCUACCAGAUGAGGCAAGUCGUAACAUGGUAAGUGUACUGGAAAGUGCACUUGGCAAAAU
rnacentral:rRNA from 1 species